UACGGAGGGGGUUAGCGUUGUUCGGAAUUACUGGGCGUAAAGCGUACGUAGGCGGAUCAGAAAGUUGGGGGUGAAAUCCCGGGGCUCAACCCCGGAACUGCCUCCAAAACUCCUGGUCUUGAGUUCGAGAGAGGUGAGUGGAAUUCCGAGUGUAGAGGUGAAAUUCGUAGAUAUUCGGAGGAACACCAGUGGCGAAGGCGGCUCACUGGCUCGAUACUGACGCUGAGGUACGAAAGUGUGGGGAGCAAACAGGAUUAAUACCGUCCGUA
rnacentral:rRNA from 1 species